GCAUGGUGGGGGUUGUAAAGAUUUUUUGGUCUGGGAUGGGCUCGCGGCCUAUCAGCUUGUUGGUGAGGUAAUGGCUCACCAAGGCGUCGACGGGUAGCCGGCCUGAGAGGGUGACCGGCCACACUGGGACUGAGACACGGCCCAGACUCCUACGGGAGGCAGCAGUGGGGAAUAUUGCACAAUGGGCGAAAGCCUGAUGCAGCAACGCCGCGUGAGGGAUGACGGCCUUCGGGUUGUAAACCUCUUUUAGCAGGGAAGAAGCGAAAGUGACGGUACCUGCAGAAAAAGCGCCGGCUAACUACGUGCCAGCAGCCGCGGUAAUACGUAGGGCGCAAGCGUUAUCCGGAAUUAUUGGGCGUAAAGAGCUCGUAGGCGGUUUGUCGCGUCUGCUGUGAAAUCCCGAGGCUCAACCUCGGGCCUGCAGUGGGUACGGGCAGACUAGAGUGCGGUAGGGGAGAUUGGAAUUCCUGGUGUAGCGGUGGAAUGCGCAGAUAUCAGGAGGAACACCGAUGGCGAAGGCAGAUCUCUGGGCCGUAACUGACGCUGAGGAGCGAAAGGGUGGGGAGCAAACAGGCUUAGAUACCCUGGUAGUCCACCCCGUAAACGUUGGGAACUAGUUGUGGGGACCAUUCCACGGUUUCCGUGACGCAGCU
rnacentral:rRNA from 1 species